rnacentral:lncRNA from 1 species
CCAGCCUUUCAUCUGUAUCCCUGUGGGCUCCAAUCAUUUUAAUCCAAUCCCUCUAAUCCUUUCCUGUGUUCCAGAACUGUGUUUCUCCCAGAGAUCAGCUGAAAAGAGGAGUGACAUAUAGGCCUGGAAGAGAAUGAAAAGAGACUGAAAUCACAGAAGUUGCCACAGCGCAGGAUUGUCAGCCCUGUCCAUGCAGGUGAGUAUUCCAUCACACUUUUUCAGUGCUGUGCAGAGGUGUUCAUGUAGUGAUAUUUAAUGUCAGAUGUGGCAGCUGGAAUU